rnacentral:rRNA from 1 species
AGAGACAGCAGUCGCCGCGGUAAUACGGAGGAUGCAAGCGUUAUCCGGAUUUAUUGGGUUUAAAGGGUGCGUAGGCCGUUGUGCAAGUCAGAGGCGAAAUUGUGGGGCUCAACUCCGCCGCUGCCUUUGAAACUGCAUGACUUGAAUCCUGUUGCCGUGGGAGGAAUGAGUAGUGUAGCGGUGAAAUGCAUAGAUAUUACUCAGAACCCCAAUUGCGAAGGCAUCUCACGAAGCAGGUAUUGACGCUGAGGCACGAAAGCGUGGGUAUCAAACAGGAUUAGAUACCCCCGUAGUCCCUGUCUCUUAUAC